rnacentral:rRNA from 1 species
UACGUAUGGUGCAAGCGUUAUUCGGAUUUAUUGGGCGUAAAGGGUCCGUAGGUGGUUUAUUAAGUCAGAUGUGAAAUCCUGGAGCUCAACUCCAGAACUGCAUUUGAAACUGAUGAACUAGAGUAUUGGAGAGGUAAGUGGAAUUUCAGGUGUAGCGGUGGAAUGCGUAGAUAUCUGAAGGAACACCAAAAGCGAAGGCAGCUUACUGGACAAUCACUGACACUGAGGGACGAAGGCGUGGGUAGCGAAAAGG